UUCUCAAUUGUUAAUCACUUCUAAUUUAAGCUAUCAAUAGGCGAACUACCUAUUGAUGGCUUUGCCUAUCUAUUCUAUCAGUAUGGUCAGCUUGCCAUGCUUAUUAAUUUCAUGCCUCCAAAUAAAUCCCAUAAACAUCAAGUAGACAACAAAAUGUACAUUUGCAAAGAAGGAUAACAAGGAAAAGGUACAAUCAAUAUCCAUCGAUAAUGAAAAGGCUAUUUGUAACUAUAACGGUUGGAAAUUACUCAAAAACUUCAAAUUAAAAUGUGAUCUUCUGUUCAUAGGGUUGAUCCAGAAAGACCAAAAAAAAAUGCAUAAACAUCAAAAUAUCUACGAUAAUAUACGCAUAGAUAUACAGAACGGUAAAAAGAAUGGAUUGAAACAUGUAUAAUAAGAAGCAUGUUACACAAUAAUUGAAAACAACGCACGUUAGUGCAUAUGAAACACAAUAAAAUGAAGAACCAGAGAAUCUGACAAAAAAGGGAUCAAAACCCACAAAAAUUACACCAAGAGAUAGGUAAAACAAUGUCCCAUAUUUUUUUAGGACAAAUAGAAAAUAAAAACAAAAAAUAGAGAAUCCAAUACUAUCAAGAAACAGAGCAACACCAUAAACUAAAUGAAGAAAAACUCACCGUAUGUGCUCAACAAUAAUCUUUUCUGUAGAGCUUGAGAGAUUAAGACUAAUGAGAUUUGAAAGCUAUUGGUAUAGAAUAGGCGAUGCGGGUGACGCCAUUCUCGUCAACCUCACGUAUCAUUGUGAGAUCCAUUAAUGAAAUUGGGUAUUGAAAAGAAAACCCAGCAGAAGAAAUGAAGAGAUUUCCAUGGUAAAUCAGCAAAAUCUUAAGAUAUGUUAGGCUUUUAUAUAAAUACCCAGCCAAAAAUCAAAUAUAAAAGCGUGUUCACACAUUUCGAUCAGAAUGUGAAAGUGUUAAGUACGUGAAAACACAUACCACUAUUGCCGAUCAACAACAGCUUGAUGAGAUAUAAUCAUAAUCAGCUCGAGCUCUGGCAAGUGGAGAACGCAUUUACAUAUGAUUUAAUUCAAACAUCAUAAAUUUAAUACAACAAAAAAACUUGGAAAAAGGGUAAUCCUAAAGAUUUAUUUCAAGGUGGGAGAAAUCAUAACAUCUAAAAUUUGAAAUUUUAAAAUAAUAAUAAUAUUGAUGAGAAAAGGUCAAAAUUAAUAUACACAAACUAUUCCUCUCAUAACCAUCUUCUCUUGAAUCAACAACAACCCAAUUAUACACUAUGAUUUUCAUAGCAUCAAGCCAAACGAGCCAUUUUCUUUCUAAUUGCCAAAUGUUUACAAUAUUGUUUAGCUAAUUCUAUUCAAUUUUCCUCAAGCCCAGCUUUCAAAUGUUGGAAUGCCAGACUUUUAACCUAGAAUUUUGAUUUCCCUUCUCAAAGUUCA
rnacentral:lncRNA from 1 species